rnacentral:lncRNA from 1 species
UGUGAGCCAAGGUUCUGUGUUGGAGGCCCUUCUUAGACCUAUAGUUGUUAACUUUUUAUAUAUUGUGACUUGGAUGGAGAGUAGUUUCAUUGGCAUUCAUACCACAUCUUAUUUAUAGAGAUGGAAUGUUAUCAAAUACUGGUACAUCAAUAUCAUACAGUAGAAUAGACAUCAAUGUUAUAACAGGGGGAUCAAUAUAUUUGUUUCCAAGAUCUAGGGACAAGGAUAAAACUAAAUGCUACCUAAGCUACAGCAGGG